AUGAACGCUAGCUACAGGCUUAACACAUGCAAGUCGAGGGGCAGCAUGGUCUUAGCUUGCUAAGGCCGAUGGCGACCGGCGCACGGGUGAGUAACACGUAUCCAACCUGCCGUCUACUCUUGGACAGCCUUCUGAAAGGAAGAUUAAUACAAGAUGGCAUCAUGAGUCCGCGUGUUCACAUGAUUAAAGGUAUUCCGGUAGACGAUGGGGAUGCGUUCCAUUAGAUAGUAGGCGGGGUAACGGCCCACCUAGUCUUCGAUGGAUAGGGGUUCUGAGAGGAAGGUCCCCCACAUUGGAACUGAGACACGGUCCAAACUCCUACGGGAGGCAGCAGUGAGGAAUAUUGGUCAAUGGGCGAGAGCCUGAACCAGCCAAGUAGCGUGAAGGAUGACUGCCCUAUGGGUUGUAAACUUCUUUUAUAAAGGAAUAAAGUCGGGUAUGCAUACCCGUUUGCAUGUACUUUAUGAAUAAGGAUCGGCUAACUCCGUGCCAGCAGCCGCGGUAAUACGGAGGAUCCGAGCGUUAUCCGGAUUUAUUGGGUUUAAAGGGAGCGUAGAUGGAUGUUUAAGUCAGUUGUGAAAGUUUGCGGCUCAACCGUAAAAUUGCAGUUGAUACUGGAUAUCUUGAGUGCAGUUGAGGCAGGCGGAAUUCGUGGUGUAGCGGUGAAAUGCUUAGAUAUCACGAAGAACUCCGAUUGCGAAGGCAGCCUGCUAAGCUGCAACUGACAUUGAGGCUCGAAAGUGUGGGUAUCAAACAGGAUUAGAUACCCUGGUAGUCCACACGGUAAACGAUGAAUACUCGCUGUUUGCGAUAUACAGCAAGCGGCCAAGCGAAAGCGUUAAGUAUUCCACCUGGGGAGUACGCCGGCAACGGUGAAACUCAAAGGAAUUGACGGGGGCCCGCACAAGCGGAGGAACAUGUGGUUUAAUUCGAUGAUACGCGAGGAACCUUACCCGGGCUUAAAUUGCAGAUGAAUUACGGUGAAAGCCGUAAGCCGCAAGGCAUCUGUGAAGGUGCUGCAUGGUUGUCGUCAGCUCGUGCCGUGAGGUGUCGGGUUAAGUCCCAUAACGAGCGCAACCCCUACCGUUAGUUGCCAUCAGGUCAAGCUGGGCACUCUGGCGGGACUGCCGGUGUAAGCCGAGAGGAAGGUGGGGAUGACGUCAAAUCAGCACGGCCCUUACGUCCGGGGCUACACACGUGUUACAAUGGGGGGUACAGAGGGCCGCUACCACGCGAGUGGAUGCCAAUCCCCAAAACCUCUCUCAGUUCGGACUGGAGUCUGCAACCCGACUCCACGAAGCUGGAUUCGCUAGUAAUCGCGCAUCAGCCACGGCGCGGUGAAUACGUUCCCGGGCCUUGUACACACCGCCCGUCAAGCCAUGGGAGCCGGGGGUACCUGAAGUGCGUAACCGCGAGGAGCGCCCUAGGGUAAAACUGGUGACUGGGGCU
rnacentral:rRNA from 1 species